CACUACAUAAGAUCCAUAACAAAAUACUCCUAGUUAAAUCUUAAAUGUGACCUGGUGGCAUUAUUGCGUGAAUGCUUAUGUUGCACACUCAAUGAAUAAGGUCCUCAAGUGUGUUGAGUUUUGCUGAGUUCGUUGUUUAUUUACAUUUUCCUCAGCAUAACUGUACAGCUGACACUGCUGCCUUCUGUAUCAUAACAAAGCCUGUCACUUCCACGUUUCGUUCUUUAUGUGACCGAAGUCACUGGCUACUGCACCAUAGAGGGUCUCUGCACUCAUUGCUGGUCCUAUGAUGCCAUCUAUUGGCGAGAACGUGCAACAGCAUAAUUAAACUAAAAGACAACUUCUGACAGGACAACAAAAAGACAGGGAGUGAGAAUAAGGGAAUAACAAAAAGACAAAAAUGGGGGGUCCACUACACUUGCAUACCUGAUUGUGAUGCUGUCACUCAUUUUCUAGUCUAUAUCUUGGACUGAAAAAGGAUUACAUUAUUAUGUUUUCAGGUGUUUUGCCCCUGCGGUUGUGAAGAGGAUGCUGUGGAGGUGGCAGCAUGAACGUGUCACACAGACAUUGGCUAAACUACUCGGCUUCUACACUUGCCCUCAGAGUUCACAUAUGGUGACGUGCACAGGUGUCCAGUCAGGUUCAGACUGAUGCUGGUAACAAGAGGAGAACAUGCUAAUUGAUGCUGUGUUGCUGCCAGUCCACGGAUGUACACAAAUGGCUCACCUGGAGGAGGAGGGCGGUCAACGACAUUACUCAAGUAUUGACAACAAAUGUGCUCUACGAUGACAUUUCCAGCAUGUCCAACUCAUCAGCAUCAGGGGAGAUUCGGUGGAGGUGGUGCACCAUCCAGGACCAGUCAUGGGCCACCAAAACCUCUGCAAAAUCUACACUUCUUGUGAACCCUGUAGAAGACACUACAACCACAAAACUGCUAAGAAACCAUCACAUACUGCGUCACAUCAUGGUUCUCCAUGUGUUACUGCACCCUCGGCACAAGUUCUUUGCUAGAUUGCCAUCUGGCAGAUGCAUCAGGACAGGAAUGUAGCUACUAUUUGUGAUUAUAUCUUCCCACACUCUUACUUGCUUUGCAUGGCAGUGUGUCUCAAUGUGUGUCAGAAUGGAAGGUGUCGCACCAUUGAAGUCAAUGGGCAGUGGCAUUGCAUCAGGGUUAUAGAAGCCCAGAUAUCCUUGAUGCUUUGAU